AUACGUAGGUGGCAAGCGUUAUCCGGAUUUAUUGGGCGUAAAGCGAGCGCAGGCGGUUUUUUAAGUCUGAUGUGAAAGCCCUCGGCUUAACCGAGGAAGUGCAUCGGAAACUGGGAAACUUGAGUGCAGAAAAGGACAGUGGAACUCCAUGUGUAGCGGUGAAAUGCGUAGAUAUAUGGAAGAACACCAGUGGCGAAGGCGGCUGUCUGGUCUGUAACUGACGCUGAGGCUCGAAAGCAUGGGUAGCGAACAGGAUUAGAUACCCUGGUAGUCCAUGCCGUAAACGAUGAAUGCUAGGUGUUGGAGGGUUUCCGCCCUUCAGUGCCGCAGCUAACGCAUUAAGCAUUCCGCCUGGGGAGUACGACCGCAAGGUUGAA
rnacentral:rRNA from 1 species